UCCAGUUUAUCACUGGCAGUCUCGCUAGAGUCCUCAACUUAAUAGUAGUAACUAACGACAAGGGUUGCGCUCGUUGCGGGACUUAACCCAACAUCUCACGACACGAGCUGACGACAACCAUGCACCACCUGUCUAUGAUGUCCCCGAAGGGAAAGCUUUAUCUCUAAAGCGAUCAUCACGAUGUCAAGGCCUGGUAAGGUUCUUCGCGUUGCGUCGAAUUAAACCACAUGCUCCACCGCUUGUGCGGGUCCCCGUCAAUUCCUUUGAGUUUCAGUCUUGCGACCGUACUUCCCAGGCGGAGUACUUAUUGCGUUAACUUCAGCACCGAGUUCUCCCGACACUUAGUACUCAUCGUUUACGGCGUGGACUAC
rnacentral:misc_RNA from 1 species